AGGAUGAACGCUGGCGGUCUGCUUAACACAUGCAAGUCGAACGGAGUAGCAAUACUUAGUGGCGGACGGGUGAGUAACGCGUGAGAAUCUACCUUCAGGACGGAGACAACAGUUGGAAACGACUGCUAACCCCCGAUGUACCGAAAGGGCAAAUAUUUAUAGCCUGAAGAAGAGCUCGCGUCCGAUUAGCUAGUUGGAGAGGUAAAAGCUCACCAAGGCGACGAUCGGUAGCUGGUCUGAGAGGACGAUCAGCCACACUGGGACUGAGACACGGCCCAGACUCCUACGGGAGGCAGCAGUGGGGAAUAUUGCACAAUGGGCGAAAGCCUGAUGCAGCGACGCCGCGUGAGGGAUGACGGCCUUCGGGUUGUAAACCUCUUUCAGCCUCGACGAAGCGAAGUGACGGUAGAGGCAGAAGAAGCACCGGCCAACUACGUGCCAGCAGCCGC
rnacentral:rRNA from 1 species